CGAAAGCCAUUCCCAUCAUGGAACCCGUCUACCCGCUCAUAGCUCCUACCCAAUACCCAUACCCAAAAACUAGGGUUUUUCUCUCUCGCUCACCGGGAGAAUGCUCUCACUUGGAUGCUGGCAUGUGUUAUUAAAUCAGGUGAUACACAACCAACCAGACCUCGGGGUUUACAUGUGCCCGGGUUCUUAUCCUUACCCCUCAAGGAAGGCAGCCUGAUGUGAUGC
rnacentral:misc_RNA from 1 species